GUAUUUCCUUUCAGAGUGAAGAUAUCCUCAAAUGUCUAGUGAUCCUUAACUGUCUGUUCACAUUUAAGACUACAGCACUAAAAAUCUGACUGGAAGUUCUGAUAUAUGAGUUGGGUUGCCAACUCUGGGUCUUACCCCAGGUAAUCUGGCUGGAUUGUUUCAUAGGACAACUCCCAAUGUUAACACAGGGUCUUUUCUUCUGGACUAGUCAGAUUUAUCAGAUACUAAAUUCCUAAUCUCAUACCUGGAAGUAGAAACUGGCUGCCAGCAUUUCGGAAGUCAAUUGGGAGAAGAGCAGGUUCUCAAAUUCAGUCCUACAUUCACUGCCACUUCCAGAAAUAUCUGGUAUCGCCAAUUCAUGAGCCCACUGGAGGUUUUGAGGUGCAAGUCUGGAUGAUGUAUUGGUUUUUCCUGCCAGAAUAGAAACUCCACAAAAACAGUGAUCUUGGUUUUGUUCAUUGAUGAAAUCCAAGGACUUAGAAGAGUGCCUGGCACAUGUAUAAUUAUGGGAAAACAUCAGACAAACCCAAAUUGAGAGACAUUCUACAAAAUACCCGAAAAACAUCAUUUAAAGGGACCAAGGUCAUGAAAAACAAGGAGACUGAGAAACUGUCACCAACUGGAGGAGCCUAUGGAGACAAAACAACUAUGUCUAUGCAGCGUGGUAUUCUGGUUUGCAUUCUGGAAAGAAAAAGGACGUUGGUAUAAAAAUUGGUGAUAUCAGAAUAAAGUCUAUAGUUGAAA